CAGAAUGUAUUUUCUUUCUUCUCAAAAUAUGAAAUCUAAAUCUUAAAUUUUCUUCAAGGAUUUUAUGUCUCCAGAAGCUCAAGUUACUGGGUUAGUACAGUCAAGAAAACAGAGAUCAGCUCUGACGCUUCUUUUUAAGUUGUCAUCUCAGAUGUAGUCAUAAAGUAUGGUUGACAAAAUGAGGUGAAAAGAAAUGUCUGAGGAGAGAAAAUUGAUUGGGCCCCAGAUUCAUGACACCUCAUGAAAAGAGCAGAUUUUGAAAGAGGAGAUACAUUAACACUCCAGUAUUGAAUUGCUUCACUGUUACGGAAUCAGAACUUUCAACAUCUACGCACAGCCUACGGAAUUAAAUAUCCAACCCACCCCCCCCCACUGACUGGCACAAGCAAGCUGGUAACAACAUACAAGGAGAAGGCUGAGGACAGAAAUUUACAACUAAAUGCAGAACCGUCCCUGGAAGGAACAAAGCAUAUGGCACUGGUUGACUGGAAGACAGAAGGGAGAGGUGUUCCAUUCCAUGAAUUGUUUUUGUGACUCUUCUCUGGACGUGCUCCAACAGAACUAUGUCUCUCCUGUACUAAUUACUGCACAUUUGGAUACAGUACUCCAGGAGCAAGUUGUUCUUUAACCUCAUGAUAAGGUUGAGUUAUAGUUCAUUAUUUUAGGAAUACAGGUAAUAACAAGUAAAUACUCAGAAAUGUUUUAUACAAUAUGUUUAGAAAUAGACAUGCACAUAAAGACACAGGAGGUUAUUAAUCUCUUCCCUUAACUCAGAAUUCUAGAAUUGACAAGUGAAACAAUGUGUCAGGAAAUAUUUUUUUUAUACCGGAUGCAAAAACUUCUAGUCUAGUCUUGGUUCCACUUCAUUGGUAUUACUACUUAUUUAUGGUGUUUAUUUACAUAUAAUUUAUUAGGCAUAAACAUCCAGAUAAUAAGUGUGAUCAUUACAAGUGCCUCAUUGCACUAGAUAACAUCUUAAAACUUUAAAAUCUGACAUUAAAACCAGAAACUACAUAAUGUCCCAGGAAGUUCUUGCUUUUUAAUGUUUCUAAUUAUUUACAUAGUUAUAAACCUAGGAAGCUGAACUUAAAAUCUGAAAAUCAUUGUCUAUCAGUCAAGGAGUUUUCAAACUCACAAGUUUAGAAAUCUUGCUUUUAAAUAUGCUUCAGCAAGUUUUUAAAACUUUAUCUGUUUUCAUUUUAUUAUUUUUCUUUUUCUUUCCAAAAAGCAUUCCAAAUUCACAAAUCCUUCUGAAUCCUUAUAAAUCAUGGAAUUAGAAUAAAUCUUGCAGUCCACUGAAAAUCUGAUUAUAUGUUAUACAUUACACAAAAUCAUUGUUUACCACAGAUGAACUUUACAUUUUUCAUUUACAGCGAGAUGCCAGUGGCUAUAUAAAAGAAAUCAAGACAAAAAGCCUAAAAUUUGUAGGAUUCAUCAAAGGAUGAAAGUAGUCAAUGUCCUUGAUCCUUUAACAGGAUCCAGCAAUACAGCAGCAAUGGGAAUUCUAUGCAAGCCUUUGAAAGUCUUGCACUAUAAUUUCCAACAAAAAUCGUUGCAUUCCCUUGUGCAUCUGUUUUUAAAAUUGGUCCAUGUGAACUUUGGCCAAUUAAUGUUAGCAGAUACUUAGAUAUUGUUUUCAGGGCUCAGAUGUUAAUUUGAAAGAAAAUAAAAAGAAAGAAUUCUCAUUGUCAAACAGCAAAUUCCCCAGAUUGCUCUUCCUUAACAUGUGAAUUUUUAGUUAGGGUUUUUUUUUUCUUUUUUUUUUUUUUUUUCCACAUAUGUAUUUCAGUACAUGCUGUCCUCAGAAUUGAAAUAAGAUCUUCAGCAUGGUAUUCAAGAUGACUUACCUUUUUUUUUUUUUUACCUUAUGUCUAGUUUUGAUUCUCUCUGUUCAAGAGAGAUGUUGAAAAAUUGGACAGGGUUCUGAAAGGCAACAGUUAUGACUGGAGAUGUAGAGAAACUGACAUAAGAAGAAACACUGAGAGAAUUCUGGCUGCCAAACCUACAGAAUAGAAGCAUGAGGGAUCUACAGCUCUCCAGGUCUCAAAUCCAGGUGACUGUCAACCAUUUGAUUUUUUUCUCCUAUUCCUGCUAUUCUAUUUAUCAGGCAUAAAUAUAUGUAUUAAACACAGUAGUGUCAAGUUUUGCAAAAAAAAACAAACCAAAACAACAACAAAAAAAAAAAAAACAGCUCAUAUCGUCUUUAAAUAUUAUUUUACUUUACCUUUAUAGUUUUUAUGAGGUAUUUGUCUAGUUCUGUUUUCUUGCUCUCAUUUCUGAUAUGUGAAUGGCCAGUUCUAAGUGAUGAAAAACUCAAUUCUAUUCAGUCUUUGUCUGAAUUUCACUUCCAGUUCUAUCAAGAGUUUACUUGCUGACAUUUUAGGUUUAAAAAGCCCAACAACCUUGGUGAAUGAAUUCAGAGGUAAUGUGUUUUCUGACAGCACGUGUGAGUGUGCAUGCGUAUGUGAGUAUAAUCUAAAAGCAAUUUCACUAUAAUUUCUUCAGAAAAGAAAGCAUAUCUACUUAUUUUAUAUAUAGUAUGCUAAUCAGCAGGAUCUACAAGGCUGCACUUCUCCCAAAUUACCUCCAGAAAACUGACAGUUAAUAUUUGUUAUUUGGCUAAAAUUAUAUAUUGUAGUAUAAUGAAAACCAUUUUUAAACAUUUUCUAGACUGCUGAAUAUUUACAGCAUCAAUCAACAUGCAUUUCAGACAUGCAAAUUCAAAUGCAAAAAAAGAAAUUAUAUGAAAAAUAAAACAGAAGUACUGCUGGAAUAUUUUCAAUAGAUUCUAAAUUGUUCAUCAACGUUAAAAAUGUUUUUUGUUUCAAAAUGAAACAGUUCAUUUCCCAGGAAAAAGUAGUAGCUUUUUUUUUCAGAAAUCAAUGUUCAGCCAACAUUAUGCCUUUUAUAACCUUUCCGAAAUAUGAAUAUGCUGAUUAAUUCACAAGACAUAGAUCUUGAACUACCCUUCUAAACAUCAAGAGCUUUCAUUGAAGGCCAAUUCAUUGCAGCUUAUUCCAAAGAGACAAGAUUUGACUUUCAGAUUUUCAUAUGGUCUUUUAGUUUUUAUUGAUGCUUAUGCUGUAUUUAGCUUAUCCCAUCUGCUUCCAAUUACUGCAUAUGUUUUGUUAUUGUUUUUAUUUUGGUGUGGUUCUCUGUUUUUUAUAGGCCUGUCCUUUCAGAUGAGGAAGAGUUUAUUCCCCUGAAAUUAAACAUAUUCCAAGAUAGGUCAGGAAAACUAAAUGCAUAAUUAUUUCCAGCAUGUUAAUAUGGAUUAAAUCUCAGGUGUUUGUGUCUAUGUACUAAAUUAAACUCUUGACAUACUGCAUUAAAAGGCUUACUGUGUAAAAUAACUUUUAACUAAGUUAUCAAUAUCUGAUACAGACUGUGUUUAGGAGGAUAAAAUAGUUGGAGGAUAAUAUCCUCCUAAAAAUAGGAGGAUAAAAUAAAACCUCGAUAGAAAGUAACACAUAGGUAAAUCAAAUUCAGAAGUUUUACGCUCUAUUUUUUUUUACUGCACAGUAGUUAUAUUAACAAAUGUGGUUGUCUUUUUGUUGUUGUUGUUUGUUUGUCUAAUCAUUUGUAUUUUGUCUUUAUUCUAUAUUUAAAAACAAACAAACAAAACAAAACAAAAAAACUAUGAGCUUACUGGAGCUAUGAGAAAAGACUUUAUUCAAGAAGAGUUGAAGAUAUAUGGAAGAAAGGGCUAAGUAGGCCAGAAAUACAGAAAGUUGUUUCUUUAGUAAUGUGAUUUGUUACACUGGGGCCGCAUAUUGUCUGUUUACUCAAGCAGGUGGAUUUGCUGAAGAAGUGCUGAUGAUGCAGUGUUCUGACCCACAUAUAAGUUCCCAACAGACUGUACCAGCUGGUGUAGUUUAUGCGUAUAGUUCAAAUAAUGCCAACAAUUUUCUCUAUUACCUCCUGCAGAUGAAAUAGAAGAUAAUGUAAAUAUUGUCAAGUUAUCCUCCCAGAAACUGUCUGUAAGGAAGUCUAUACUUAGUUACCUAUAUUAUUUAUUUAUUUAUCCUCCUCCUUAUUAUCUUUGAUUUUUUUUUUAAUUUAAUGUGAAUAUCAAAAAUUGAGAACUAGAGAACUUCAUUAAAUUAAUCUAGUUUGCUCAUAUAAUUCAAACACAAAGACUUGAACUUUGGUCUCCAGAGGAAAAGAAAAUAGACCCUCUUUAAUUGUGUUGUGUUUCACAGAUGUCUGAAGUGGUAAAAAAGCACCAAUAAGACAUCUUAAGUUUUACUUAAUGUUAAGAUCUUUACACCUAACUAUUCUGAAGCUUUUGAAAAUUUGUUUAAAAAGAGUACUGUGAUUAAUGUAGUCAAAAGAUUGAUUUUCAUCUUACCUGAGAUGCUUUAAAUCUUACACUGUAAUUGUAAUUUUUGCUUAAUCUAUCAUGUUUUGUCAGCUCAGAUCACUGUUUAAAAUAAUAAAGAAAAGUGCUGAGAAGUAAAUACCUCUUUAGUAAUCAAGGUUGUUGAAAUGAAAGCUUUUAUUUUUGUGGAGUAAGAUUUUUUUUUAUUUGUUUUAAUGUGAAAAAAUUCUCCACUUGCAGGAAUAUCGAAAUGUAAUAAUAUUUCCUCGUAAUAGGGAAAUUUCCACAUAGACUUAUAUACUUACAGGGAAUAGGACGUUGAUUUAGGUAGGGAAGGAAACUUAUUAGCUGUUCUAAAACAAAUAAAAGGCCUUUUUUUAAGAAAAAGAAAAAGAUUAUUGUCUAUCUAUAUGUUACUUAUAUUAAAUAUGGAAGUAACUGCGGUUUUCCUCACACAUUAUCAGCAUACUUAACAGAAAUCCCAUUAACCUGUCAGAUAUUUUCUAAUUCAAGCACAGAUUUAGUCAUGAAUAGUCAGCUGGAAAUGAGGUAAUUGGGGUAUGAGAGAACUCUCAGUCUGUAUCCAUAAUUUAUAAUAAAAGAACUGACGGUGUUCUGUGAAAGAAAGUUCUUAUGGUAAGUUUUGUAAAAGAUGAUAAAAAGAAUUUUUAUGAUGUUAUAAGGCAGUUAAAAACAAAAUAAAAAUAAUUUAAAAUGAAUACCUUAUAUUAGUCAGCAUACUUAGGCACAAUUUUAGAUGUUUGUAUUAUUGUCCAUUGCUUCAUCCAUACCUUGUUUUGCAUCAUUGUCAUUAUAAAUUAAAGAAAUCAUAUGAAAGAUUAAAGCUGGGGUAGCCACAGAAACUUUUAAUUAUCAAACUUUCUAUGAUUCUGUGCCUGAGUCUGUGAAAUACCUUGAUUUCACAGAACAGCUAUGAAAUAGUGGGAGUUGAUACAGAAGAAAAAGGAAGGCAGGCUGUUAUAACAUUAGUAUUCUAAAAAAAUUAAUCAAACCAGGAAAUAAAUUAUUUACAAGGACUGCAGCCUAAUUUCUUUUCUUUUUUUUGUUGUGUCUUUGUAACCAAGCUGAAAGUGCUUGAAUAUGUUUAUCAGGUAUAAAAAUCCAUAGAUAUUAAGGAUGUUUGGGGAGGGAUUUAUAAUUUUUCACUUGUCCAUUUAAAUAUAUGAAUUCCCAUAUAGAAGUCCAAUGUGAUAGCUGCAGGGAGAUGAGAGAAGAGAGUGAAACAGAAGACUUCACUUUUGUCUUCUCAGCCUUCCCAUUCCUGAAAAUGUUUUAUCCUAAUCAGAAAGAAAAGAAGUGCCUAGAGGUAAGUAUUUAAACUAGAAAACUUUGAAAUUGGAAGCAUACCCUAGCUUUUUGUUUUGUUUUUUGUUUUUCUUAAAAAGUGUUGCAUUCUUGCCACUUUAACAGAAUUUAACUUAUUUUAACAAAGUUCUGGAGACACUCAACUAAAUAAUGGUUAUUUCAGAAAGGAAUGAAGUAGAAAAGGUCCAUUUGGGGAUCCUGCUAGUAUUGGAUAUUUCCUAUAGUCAAGUUUGAAGUUUUUUCAAAUCUGACAUUACAUGCUUCUUCACCUCCAAAAAAGGAGCAUUUCACUGAUGAUAUAGGUGAAUGCUGUAGGGGUUUGUUUUGAUAUGUUUGAUACUAUCCUUACAUCUCUAGAGUAAUACAGUAUAGGCUUUUUAGAGGUCACUAUUAAGAUUAUUUCCCCCUUUUGUCUGCUACACCAUUUCCAUUUGGAAGAAGUUGAUCCUAUUUUCACCACCAAGAAAAGAUCUUCUGAUAUCUGUGGCAGUUUUGUUUCCCUUUCUUUAUGCAACCAGUGAAAAGCAAAAUUGUUAUCAAAUAAUUAUAGCCACAUAAUACCCUGUAAAGGUUUAUGACUUCUUACUGACAGGCCCUUCUCAAUUUUCCAUGAUGUUCAUGUGAAAACUUUAGUAAGAACAUUCACUGCUCUAAAUACAUAAUAAUUAGGAGUACAAAAAACAAAAUCACUUUAAAAAGACUAAAGAAACUGAAAUAUUUAGUGCAGUAACAUAGUAAGAAUGUUCUUAGCUGUACCAUUAGAAGAGAUAUCUUUCUGCCUAAUAAGCAAGAGACUGUAGUGCAGAGCUGAUUGGGGCAAAAGUGUCUACAUAACAGUAACAGUGCUCCAGACUGUGGAUAAUUUCAAAUAAAAUAAUUACCUUUACUAGCUCUGCAGAAGUUUCAGUAAAUGCUGAAAAGGAUAAAAUUGCAGGUGCUGACUACAGAGAGUAGUAAAAAAUCUCAGUAGAAAACUAAAUUGUACUUGUUUUUUUCCUGGAUUGCCUCCUGCUGCUGGAAGCCCACCUGGUCUCUAUUACAUCUCCUAUUCAGCAUAGUUAAAAUUUGCUACAGCCAUUUCAGGUUUGAAUGUUAGAACGUUGUGUUAAUAUGGCAGGUUUUGACAUUCCAUUGUUUAAAUGACAGUGUUCUUUUUUAUUACUUUAUUUAUUUAUUUAUUGCAAGGUUGAAAUUCAGACUCUCAUUAGAGCAAAUUAUGUUGAACUCUGGAGUAAGAGAACUUGCACAGCAGUAGUGUUUUUUUUUUUUUUCUCGGUUGUAUCUAACAAAUGGAAUUGAAGCUGUUCCUAUUUAAAUCGGCAGUGUUACUGAAGGAAAGAGCAGCAUUUGACCAAAUGCAUGCCAAAAACAUGAUAUUUAUGAAAUACUACCAUAACACUGGAGUGUUACUCUAUGGAGAUAAAUAUUUAAAUUUUAAGAGCUAUUGUUCUCAGAGGUGCUAUUGUGGGCAGGAAUUGAAUGAUAUGAGUCUCAGAGAUGUGAAGUGUAACUCAACUGUCAUUACGUUUCAUUCUCCAUUUAAGAUCAAAAUACAUUUUAGAUUGCCUGUAACCUGCACACUCAUGCAACUCUAAGUUCAGAUGCAUCUUAAAAUCUUUAGCACAGAGAAGAAUUUUCUCACUACAGAACACGAAGAAAAAACAUGUCGUUGAAAUGAUUGCUUUUCAUAUAGUAACAAUAUUUUAAAUUUGUCUUGUUAUUUCAGUCUGUAUAGUUUUUCUAUUCAAAGGAAGUAUAAAGAAAAAUAUAACCUAUGCUGAACAUGAUUUAAGCAGUCUUCAGAGACAAUUUGCUUUAACAAAGACAUGCUUAAAUAUGAGUUUCUUGUAGGCUGGUCAAUGGAUGCAAUUAUCUUUUGUCUUUGAGUAUGUAAUAAGAACACUACCCACGCUCUACAGAAAUGUUACUGGAAGGGAGUAGAAAUGUUUGAAUUUACCUCAUGCAUUUUGUCUCAGAAUUAUAAAGACAAAAACAGUCUUUAAGUGGUCCAUAUUUGAAAAGUUUUGUUUUAAAAGCCUUGAGCACCACAUAAAAAGGACAAUGUUCAUGACAUCAAUGAAUGAUAUGGCCUUCUUUAUUUAUUUAUUAUUCUUAAAUGGUUCUAGAGCACUAAAGAAAUAAUGGGACUUUGAAGCAAAAUGUGUCUUGUAAGGGACCUGUACAUGCAAAACUAAUUAAUUAAUUAAUUAAGAGUUACACUUCUGAUCUGGGUUCUUCAAUUAAGUGCUUAAAAUCAUAAUCCAGACUAGAUUUAGUUGUUGACUCCCUUAGUAGCUGCUAGUUUUACUGUUAGAGAGAAUUCCUGAGACACUUCAAUCAUUAGGGAUGUUACAGCAGCAGUAUUUGUUCAUACAUUUAAAGAUAGAAUGUGUUCUUAGAAAUAGUUAUGCUUGUGAUUCACUAUAUACAGCUGACUCAACUGAGAUAUCCAAGUACUAAAGUGUUUGCAGAAUACUAACUGUUUGUACUGUAAUUAAGUUGUUUGGAACACCCUGCACCCUUUGACAUCUACAAAAUAUAGGAAAUAAUAUUGAGGAUAAUAAUUACAGCAUGAAAAGUAGAUAUUUUAAAAUAAAUAGGGAAAAAAAAGUACAAGCAAUGCAUGUAAGAACUCUGUUUGCGUGUUUUAUUUCAUUUAUUUAUUUUAUUUUAUUGAUUUUCUGUAUAGCAGAAAAUCUGAUUUUUUUUAAAUGUGGGUCCAUAUUUUCAUUGAACUCCAGUUUCUCCUUACCACCUCAGAGAAAUUGUCAUAUUCAAGUGUCCUUUAAUGUCUAAGUGUCCUUUAAUAUUUUAAUAAUUAUCCAAUAGAUAAUAAUGUAAUAAGUAUCCAAUAAAAAUAAUGCAGAUAUAUGAAUAAUCCUGCGUGAAAGUAUGUUAUUGUGUGAAAUGAUAAUUUUUCAGUAUAAUUUUACAUGUGCAAUGCAUCAAAAAUUCUAGUUCAUGUAAUAAGAAACAUUAAAGAGAAAAUUUUCUAAAAAUAAGAAAAUAAGUGUUCUAGUAUUGGCAUAUUCAAGAAUCAGUCUGAGGCUGGAAAGUUUACAUAUACACACACAAUAUAUAUAUUGUUUUUCCUAUGAAAAAUGUCUCACCACUAACUCACUCUAAUUUUAAUAACUUACAGCAGGAAAAAAAAAAGAAAAAAGCAUUGUUGCAUAGAUGCACUCUAGUGAAUAUUAUUGCUGUCAUUACUAAUCAAAGCCUACAGGCUUUGUACAGACCUGACAUAACAGGCUCUUGAGGCUGGUCUCGACUUGCUUUGUGUUAGGGUUUAAUCCAAGCAGGCAGCUCAGCUCCACACAGCCACUUGUUCAUCCUCCCCAUGAGAGAAUUAAGAAGGUAAAUGUGUGAGAACUUGUGGACAGAGAUAAAGAUAGUUUACAAAGCAGAGUAAAAGCUGUGUACACAAGCAAAACAAGAAUUCUUCUGCUACUUCCUAUUGGCAGGCAGAUGCUUAGCCACUCACAGGAAAACAGAAGAAAAAAAAAAAAAGCAGGAAAACAUGCAUUACAUUAGCACUUCAAAUGCCCCACCCAUCCCCUUUUCCUUCUUUAUCCUGGCUUUUAUUGCUUUAUUGAUGACCACACCAUUGUAUGAAAUAUCCCUCUGGCCAGUUUGGAUCAGUUGUCCUGUCCUCUUCCCCAGCUACUUAUUCACCCAUGGCUCCUCUCUGGUAGAGCAGCAGAGAAGUGGAAAAUUCUUUGUCUUAGUGUAAGCAUUACUCAGCAACAACUAAAACAUCAGUGUAUUAUCAUCAGUAUCAUUAUCAAAAAUAUAAAACACAGUAUCAUGUGUACCUCUAUAAAGAAAAUUAACUCUAUCCCAGCCAAAACCAUGACACCUUGGCCUGAGCUUUGAGUAAUGAUCUGUAAGCCAAGUGACUACCUCAUGAGCUUGAACUGAAGCUCUGUGUAUGCCUUCCAUGGUCAACUCUCAUCAGUCGUGGGAGUCACGGCUCAGCAAGCGAUUGCUCUUUCAUCCUAUUGAGGCUGGCUGUUCAACUGCCUUCAGACUUGAGCUGCGAACCAGUGAGCAGGAAGCAGAGUGAUGAGAAAGGACAUAGAAAUGACCCUGCACUGGGACCUACAGAUUCAGGAGAAAGGAGGGACCUCCUGCCGUGAACGCUGACCACUCCUGCUGAGUCCUGAGGCUGCUGACAACUUGCUGAGCCUGUUAUGUCCAGGAACAGCCACCUCCAUUGGCUUUAGGUCCUGGAGGACCACAGGAUGGAAGAGCACAGCUUAAGGGAAAAGGGGUAGAUAUUAUUAAGUCUUGUAUGAUAAUUUAAGGGUAUUGCUCUCAUCAAGUUUUUUUGUGUUUUUGUUUUGUUUUGUUUCAUUUUUGGGGGGUGUGUAAUUUUUGGUAGUAAUUUAUGUUACAAAUACUUGAUUAUACACCUCAUGGAAUUAAACAUAACUCAUUGCUGUGUUUUGAUUAGAUUUUGAGUUAGACUCCCAAUAAAUAAUUCUUGCCUUCACGUGCAAAAUUUGUUCCAUUUUUGCCAAUAACAGGAUUUUGAGUCUAACACAUUAUACUAAAUUCACUAACCUUUUCAUAGAAGCAUUUCAGCAUUUUUGUAAAAUUAUUCUAGGAAGAUUUAGCCCAAGGCAGAAAGCUGGCAUAAAACUUUGACCUAAAUAGCUUGUUACUCAUAGCUUUUGUUCCUCAGAAUAAGUCUUUACAGUGAAAUUUCAGGUCAACCUUUAAAACAAGUCGCUCCAUAUAGUACAAAGUACAUAUAGGCAAAAGCAAAAUAUAAUUCUUUUCCUGCAGAUGAUACUAAGAGAGUGAUAGAGUUUAUCCAGUUGUGCAAGAGAAUAUAAAUAUAAAUAUGUAUAUUAAAAAAAUGAAUAAAGGAAGAGAAAAAUUACUUUAAGAAGUGUAUACAUUCUGACUCUGCUAGAAUUAUUAAAUAAUGAAUUUUAUUUAUAAAUUAAAUAUAAUUUUGUUUUUGUGUAUACACAGAAAACCACUUUUGUUCUAUUGUAUGACAUUAAUAUACAUCUAUCCAACAACAAAAGAGUGUUUUGAAAUAUUUUGAAAUGUCUGAUAGAAUAGUUAGCACUGUUUUCCCCUGUAAAUUAGAAAAGAAUGAAUUGUAAAACUAGUUUGAUAUAAAGGAAUGCUUUUCACAACUGUCUAGCUUAUUACUUAAAAACAAACAAACAAACAAACGAGGUAGUUAAGACAAUAAAGAUAAAUAGAAUUUAGUAUUUGAAUUCAUUAUCUGUCACGCUUCUGUGUAAAGUUCAUUAGACUUCCUUCUCUUAUUGAGAAUUAUUCUAGUUAGUACACACUUUUCUUCUUGAGAAGUACAUAGGUUGCAACAGCCAGAGCUAAGCAGACAAUGAACUAAUUAACAGAGUCGCAGUGUUAACGGUAGGUUGGGAAUAGAUCCCAGCCAUAAUAUGUGAUGGAUCUGAGUUACAUUUCUUGCUUAAAAAAGAAAUUUCUUGUGCCUCCUCACAAAAAAAUAAAAUAAAAUAUGCACACAAAAAAAGUGAACUAUAAC
ensembl:lncRNA